UUGAGAUGCUGUGCAGGAAUCGUUACAAUUCACCUAUUUCAAGCGCACAGCCCAAUGGUUCUUAGUGUGUGCGCAACCGUCACAGGGCUGUACAACUGUCACCACCACCAGUUUUAGAACAUUUUCACCUCCAAAAAGUAACUCUGUACCAUUAGCCUCACCCUCCUCCGCCGCCGCGCCCCCAUCCUUCCGCAGCCAGUUCGGGACAUUUCCUGCCAAUAGAAUCAUGCACCAGGCGGUCCUUUGUGCCUGGCUUUUUUCUCUUCCCUUAGGCUUUUCCAGGUUCGUUCAUGUUGUGGCCUGAUCUCCGUCCAUCGUUCCUUUCCACUGGGAGAUAAUAUCCCAUUGUUUGGAUAGACCACUGUUACGUACCCCGUUCACUUACCGGUGCACAUUUGGGUUGUUGCCACUUUUUGGGCUACUAGGAAUAUUCUGCUCUGGGUUUUCAUGUGCUAGUUUUUAGCUGAAAGUUAUUUUCAUUUCUUUUGGGUGCAGACCUCAGAGUGGCACUGAUGGGUUGUAGGUAACUACUGAGAACCACCUCUUGAAGGACGACCAGACUGCUUUCUGAAGCGGCUGCGCCAUUUUGCAUUGUCACCGGCACCGUAUGGAGGGUCCAGUUCUGCCACGCGGCGGCCGGCAUUUGUCCUUCUGGCUACAACCGUCUGUGCUCAGAGCUCAUUUGUGGUGACAAGAACUUGUACCUGGACAAACACUGGGUCCUGCCCCAUAGAUUGUGUGCACAGUCUUAACGUUGAGAACAAAGUGUGGGGUUGCCUUUCCUGCUUGGACGACGUUGUGUUCGGAGCUUUCUGCAGAGGACAAUGAGCGCGACUCUCGUGGACUGGCUUUCGAGAGGGGAAGUCGUGGAUACAAUCUCAGGGUGUCCUAGAAUAUGAGAGAUAAAAGGAACUUUAGCGACCAUGUGCUGUUUUCUUCCGCCAUUGUCUCCUGUCCCUCGUGUCAGAGGUGGGAAAGAGGCCCGAAAAGUCCAUUUUAACUGACUUGUCUAACCCUCUCCCCAUUUCUCAUUGUUAAAUCAGGACAAUAGUGGACUCUAUUCUCUCUCACACACAAGAGAAAUGUGUCCUCUGUCACAGGUGCCCCCUGAGAAUGGGUUUGAGCCCAGGGGACACUUUUGGGCCCAGCGGGAAGGACUGACUUAGGUCUUCACAUUGGGUUUGCACCCUGGCCCCAGGCUCCCUCACAGACGGUCUGUAUUUUUUUUGGCUUUCUCACCGUUCACCUUAUUCCUGUUUUAUUGCUCCUGUCCUUCAUUUCCCGUGUUUUUUCGAUCCUAUCCUUCAUUUCCCAUGAACUUGAAAUCCUUGUCCAUUUUUGAGGAACUUUAUCUUCCUCUGUUUACACCCGGAGAGAACACGGUUUCCUGGGUUCCUGGAGAGCCAGUCAGAACCUGGGUGUGUUUGUCAGGAAUCCAGCCUCCUCAGCCAAUGCCUCUGACUCUCCCAACCAGCAAACCUGCUGCUACCUGUUACUUUUCACUACGUAAGCACCGUCCUCCACGUUUUGUCACAUAAGGACACGGACCGGCCAAAAAGAAGGAGAGCUUUUGAGCUUUACCCCUUUAUCAUCUGUUCUUUUUCUUUUUUUUUAAAAAAAAUUUUAAUGUUUAUUUUACUUUUGAGAGAGAGAGAGAGAGCAUAAACAGGGAAGGGGCAGAGAGAGAGGGAGACACAGAAUCCGAAGCAGGCUCCAGGCUCUGAGCCGUCGGCACAGGGCCCGACGCGGGGCUCGAACUCACGGACCGGGAGAUCGUGACCUGAGCUGGAGUCAGACGUCUAACUGACUGAGCCACUCAGGUGCCCUUGUCUGCUCUUGUUUAAUCACCUCUGUUCUUCUUUAGUCAUAUUGUCUAAACUAUUAGUAUUUACACAGUUCUCUGUAAAGAUAUGUAUCCAUCAAAGUUAAAAAUGUGAUAGACCUUA